CAUCUCCGACAAAUUUGUCUCUUCCCUUCUCGAUCUGCUGAAAAAGAAGGUGGAGUUUACACGUUAAUUUCUCUCACUCGAUCUGUUGAAGAGGAAGGUGGAAUUUAUUGACGGAGCCAUCGAAAACCAUUGGAGGCUAAUGAAGAACGGAUCCGUCGAUUGCAUACUCUGCUAAAAUGCUAUAUACAUUUAUUUUUGGAAGAAACUGACUGCAAUGGAUUCUUGACAAAGCUUUAGUGCGUCACACGAGUAACAAUAGGCUUCUCUUGGCACAAUUAUUGCUUUACAAGUUGUCACUAAUACUUCUCAAUCUGAGAGGUUAAGGCAAGCAUGAUGGUGUUCUAAUGGAUCGACCGACGAGACAUGUGAAAAAAAGCUAUACAUCUGUAAUCAAACAAUGACCGAUUAUGUGGCACUCUCUCUCUCCCUCCCUCCUUUCUCUUAUACUAAUACUAAUAGUCGUUGAAUUUGAAUUCGUAAUCGGCAUUAAUAAAGAUGUUUUCUUCUUAUGGAAAGAUUGAGUCAGAGGAUUUUUUAUGGCACACUCUUGGUCCAAAGCGAGGAAAGCUACGAGAUUUCUCUUUCAUUCAGUUCAGUACCAAAGAGGGCCUUAUGUCACUUCCUUGACCAUGUGACGUUCGAGAGAAAAGAUGACUUUUUUGAGAUGUUCAAAACCUGAGCUCUUUUACUGAACUUAAGGUACUUAUCGAGGGAGCUUAAAAAAGUGGAGAAGAAUAAUGGACGGGAUUUAGAUAUUAACGAGGUAAAGGACUGUAGGCGAGGGAAUAUUGAGUUUAUUUUAAAGCACAAGAACCUCUUUUUUUAAGUUAGUAACUUUUGGGCAUGUUUAUAGAUGUAUACAUGUUUAUACAC